rnacentral:lncRNA from 1 species
AUUCCACAAUCUACUGCGUUUUCCAGGGUUUUUGAUAGAUUCUUCCCGAACAAUUUGCCUAUCCAUUUCUUGUAUCAAGUCAUGUAUCUCUAUGUGACUGUUUAAAGUAAUAGUUACAAGAGCCUUGUCUAACAAGUUUCUUAUCCCAAUAUCUGCAAAGAAACCAUAGGCAUUUAAUAUUUUUGUUACACUGCUGCUGCUAGAAAUAUAUUUUUCUCUGUAUCAUCUAAUUCAUCAUAACUUAAUCUCAACACCUUUUGAAUUUCAGCAUUGGAAAUUUCCUUCAGUUUAUUUAGAGCACUAUCCCAUUCUUUUUUACUUUUUGUACGAAGAAAUGAACCCAGAACUUUCAAAGCCAAAUGGUUGCCUUUUGCAUAAGAAACUACAUUGUUUGAUAUUUCCUACAAACAUUUUUGUAAGAAAUAAAUUAAAGGGAUAAAAUUUCAGUCAUACAUGAGAGUUUCAGUCCAGGACCUCCAACUACUGAUUUCUUCACACACACGCGCGCGCACGUACAAGUUUUGAUAUAUGAAACAUUUUUUAUUUGCAUAUGAGGUUUUACUAGCAUUACUUUUGGAUCAACACACACACACACACAAGUUUGAUAUAUGAAACCUUUUUUAUUUGCAUAACUCUGAUUAUAGGAUACAUGUAUGGUAAUAAGAAGGCAAGUUGAAUGCGAGUUUUGCCGCUCUUUCCCAAACCCUCUUGUAAAAAUACCUACAUAUUAUCCCUAUUUAUGACAAUGAAUCUUGACUCAAUUUAUAAUGAGUUGACUCCUACCAAAUAAGGGUAUGAAUUCAAUUCUUGUUGCCAAUGUGAGGACAUCUUUAAAGGAGGAUAUGUAAAUUCCUAUGCUAGUGAUCUCUAAUCCUUGAUGUCUGCUCUAGCUCUAGUGAGCCUCCAAAAUCUAAUUCACAUAAACUUUUCUUUAUAAAUAAAAGAUUUUACUUUUUUUUUUUUUUUUUUUUUUUUUUUUUUUACUAUCUCAUCUUAAAUUUUGUUGUAGGCCUCAAAUAUAGAAGAUAAAAAGAGUUUGGUUUUGUUUAUGUAACAUGUUUGUCGAAAGUUAAAACUCACUAAGAAAUUACAUCCCUUCGACUAAGUUGGAAGAUAUCCCUUACCAUCUCAUCCAUAUAGAUGAACUAAAACUAAUUUAUAAGACUAAAUUAUCAUAUUAUAAAUUUGAAGGAUUAAAUUAUCCAACCCUUUUAAUUUUUCAAAGAUCGAAAUAUAUGCCAUUUGAGAGAGAUAAAUGUAAAUAUUUUUGUAAGUGUUCUUUGAAUUCUAAGGUCUUCGUUAUCUUGAACUUAGAUACCAUCUCUCCGGUCUAAAUUUUAAUUAAAAAAUAAUUAAAAUACAUAUUAGAUGAGAUGACACGGGUCUCUUAUAGUUUAACUAAAGUCAUGGUUUCAAAUCCAAUCUUGAACAUGCAGCAACAUUAACACACUUAAAGAGAGCUUGCCGCCCAUUUAAAUCCCACAAGACUCAAGUGAUUAGUCUCCACAAUUACGCACGAGAAGGAUACCUGAUUUGAAAAACAAAUAAUCAAUUGGGCCUAAUAGACAAUUCUCGCAUCUCAGCCUUAUUAUCUCUACAAACUUCAAUCCGAAAAAGAUACGACACACAAGAGUUGAAAAUCCAAACGACAGUGUUUGUUGAUUAAAAUGUCCUCAACCAAUAAUUAAAUUAUUGAUAUGCUUAGUUGUCAAUCCAAACAUGUCAUAUAUAGGAACGCAAAAACAAAACUCAUUUUUGGGCAGUUUGAGAUGGGAAGAUAUAUGAUAGAUGCUUAAUAUGGCUUGUUCUCGUGAGCUUAGUUCAGUUGGUAGAGACAACAUAUAAUAUAUGUAAGGUCCAGGUUCAAAUCCCGACCACCAUAAAAGAAUGCUUAAUAUAGGUUAUUAAUACUUGGCUUUUAUAUGUGUUUAUUCCCUGCAAAUAGGGGUCAUUUAAAAAUUGGUCCCUGUAUUCUUUAAUCCUGACAAUUUGUCCUGCCAAAAUUUAAUCAUUUAAUAUUUCGUCUCUCUCCCCACUUAAUCACUACCACGUCACUAAUUACAGGGAUAUUUUUGUAAUUUCAUGUUUGUAAUUUCAGCGACGUGGCAUUAAUUAACUGGGCUGAGGGACCAAUUUUGAAGUGAUUAAAUUUUGGUAGGGCAAAAUGCCAGGAUUAAGGAAUACAGAGACCAUUUUUUAAAUGACCUUUAUUUGCAGGGACUAAAGACACACAUAUGAAAGCCUUAAUACUUUUUGAAGCAAAAUUGAUUUGAAAAGGUUCGAAAGAGAAAAGAACACAACCAAGUUGUUUGGGCUCCACUGGCAAGGAGCUCCUUACAAUGAUGUACCCUGGAAAUACCGAGUUCGACUCCUAGGGGAACAAUGCUUGACUAGUACACAUGUCUCUAUAUACGAGCCGGAUUAGACGUUCAUAUUUAGUGGAUCGGAAACCGGUGCAAAGUACAUUCAAAGAUCUUUAGAUGUAGGUUCAUCAAAGUAUGACCUUCUAUAUCCUCGUUGAUAAUGCAAAUUUAAGAAAUUGGAUUUCAACUGAGUUGUGUGUAAAGUUUCCUAUGGCCUUAAUCUACGUGCAUCCACGGUAUCUCCUCCUCCUCCAGAAUCAAUUCCAAUGUCUUCCAUCUCAUCUUCCUCUCAUGACGAUCUUCACCUUAGAAAUGAAUAUUUUCAACUACUCCCUCUCUUUUUGAUAUGACAAAGGGGGGAAUGAAUUAAGGAGCUAAAUUUAGAAAUUUGAGAAGUAAUAUUUUGUGUACUCUAGAAAUGAAUAUUUAGAAAUGAAAUUUGAGAAGUAAUUUAGAAAUUAAUAUUUUCAACCACACGAUCUAAUGUUUGCUUAUUUCUCCUACUAGUAUUUUAAUUUCUAAAUUAGGAUUAAUUGCUUUUUAUUUUGUUUUAAACCAUUUGAAUAUUCAAGAAAAUCAUUUGUGAUGUAAUUUAUUUAGUAUGAAACUAUGAAUGAUAUAUUAUGGUUCAAGUAAAUCACAAGUUUAGUUACUCAAUUUGCAUUUUAAAACUUUAAUAUGAUAUUGAAUGCUAAAAUUUUAGGGAGAGCUCUUUGUUAAAAAUAUACAAAUAUUGUUACUGAUUUGCUUAAUGAGAAUCAUAAAUUAAAAUCUAAUUCAACAAGUUUGUCAUCAUAAAAAAUAAGAGUUGCUGAGGUAAAAUUCCAAUUUUAUAAUAAACAUUUGAAGAAUAUUUUUAAGACUGAUAUCUAACCUGUACUUUUGAGUGGUUUAAUUUAUAGACAGGUUCUGAUUAUGAUACAAGCAUCUCAUAUUCGCGACAUAAUUUAAUCCAUCUUUGUGACAUGAUGCAUCCCUCUAAAUUGCGAUAGAUUGAUAUUUUGUAACAAAAUCCAUCACUAAUUUGUGGUCAAAAUCAAUAAUUAUAUGUUAUGUUUUCGUUUGGUAUUAGUGAUGGAAGAAUUAAGAGUUUGUUUGAGUUCAAGUGGUUAAUGAGUUCCACAUAUGAUGAAUUGUUUAAGAGAAUCUGAAUUCGAUUUCUGAGUGAAAUAAUUCUAUUAUUAACCAAACUUUACUUAUCUUCUGAUCGAACUCCAAAUUAUCAAGACUAUUUCCAUUGAGAACUAGAGGGUUAACACAACCAAAAAAACUAAGAGUUGUCUAAUAUGAACCUCCUAAAAAAGGUUUAAAGUUGGACAUUUACUAUUUUUAGCAAAAGAUUGAAUUUUAUAAUAAUAAUAGUAAAAGGAAAAAAAUGUGUAAUGUUUUAUCAAAACUUACAAAAAUCGAAUUUUUCUAGAAGUCGAAAUUUUUUGGUGGAAUCUAGAGAUCAAUUUUAGAUUAUGUCCAUCUAAAGUCGAUCAUUUCCGUUUAGAGAUCGACUUUAGAUAGACAUGAAAAACUCAUAUAUGUGAGGAUACAAUUAUGUCGCAAUUGGCUAAAAUUUCUAGAUCUCCUAGCUAAAUAUUUAAUGUCCAACAUCCACGGUUUUGUUUAUGUGGUUACAUUAAUUAGUUUGCGACGAAAUUGUGUUGCUUUAGCGACAAAUCACAUACCCUAUCUAAAUUUAGUUUUUUUUCUUCUUCUAAUGGAGUGGCCAAUAAUAAAUAGUUUCUUUUAAGGGAUAAUAAAUAGUUUCUUCAAAAAAAAAAUAGCCAAACACAAAAGCUAUCGGAAAAAAGCCCAAGGACCCAAAAAGAUCCCCGGUCACACACAAAACCAACAAAAAAUGAAGCCCAUCCCAACACGCCAACAUGAGAAAUAAAGACAAAAAACACCCACAUGACAGAAGAACCUCGAAAUCCUGGAACCACCCAAACCCUCAAAGACAUAUAAGAUCCAUAUGUGUCAAACAACAUUGAACCCUAAAGGUGUCAACGUACAAAGAAUUGGUUGUCUCCCACUCGUAAGGGGAGCCGCGCGAUGCCUAGAGAAUUUACCAAAGAAUCACUCCCAAGAAUGAAAAAUAAUCCAAUCAACAUGUUGCUGCUCAGUCUCGAAGUUACUUCUUGAGAAAGGUCAUUACGAACUUUUCAAAUAUACCACACAUUCGCAUGCCCUAGCUCUCCUCCUAUAUACACCUAAAAGAGAACACACCAACUAAAUGUUAAGAACUCGGACACUGCAUAUCAAAUGCUCAUACACGACUACCAUAUUUGAUGUACUGAUUGUGUACUCUUUUUUUUUAUCCAAAAGUACUAAAAGUAAAUGAAGAAAGAAUAUGAGGAAGUAUACAUAGUACAUUUUUAUUUGUCUAAAAAGUAGUGAAAAUUUAACAUGGUUGGUUAUUAUAAAGUAAAACUAGCAGCCCUAAACACCGUAGUAGCAAACUUAAGCCAAACCCAUGCUGGCCCAUCAACUUAUAUAAUAAUUACCCACGAACGUUAGUGGAAAAACUCGGUUGCAUAUUUUAUUGUCUCCCCUAUAAUUGUUAUAACCUACAAAUACUUAUACGUCACUUAAAUUUGAGCAAUCUCAUCCAUAAAUUCCCACCCCACAAGGCCACAACAACGAUUAAAGAAACAAAUUAAGAGAGAUUAUACAUACAUAUACACUCCUACUUAGGUCCAUUCCACCAAUUAAAGGAAUCACAAACAAGAAGAGAAAAAUAAAAUAGCUAGAGAGAAAUACAUAAAGAUGAGUGAAGAAUGUGGUGGAAACACUAUUGCUACCUCUACUACUCCAUUAAACUGGUGGUAUCUUCAAGCAAAUUCUCUUUCUUCUAAUUGGAAUGAUGUUAAACAUGCAUGGAACAACCAAAUGAAUAAUCCAAAUUCUUCCUCUUCUUGUGAGGAUCAAGAUAUAUCAGUUUCUUCUACAUCUUUCACCAAUGCAUCAAACCAUUCAAGCCUCACUGUUGAAUCCUCUCGAAGAGUAUUCGUCGAGCCGCAUGCACCACCUUCCUCCAACGACUUCAUGGCCGAACAUGCUUCGGAUAACCAACUAUGGAGUCAUGUUUUAUCGUAAGUUUCGUAAAUUGUUAAUUAUUACAAUUGUGCUAUAUGUUAUAAUGAAAACUAGUCUCAAUAUCACGAAAUAAUGUGCGUUAGAAUUUCAGUACAAAGGAAAAAAAAUUCAUAUGCUAUUGACUGAAAACAUGGAUCUGUCCAAUGAUAUUAUUUUGUGACACUUCUUAAUGGAACCCCUUCAUGACAGUAAACAAUUUCCUAAUUAUUAAUAAAUAUCUGAUGUUUUUACUGCUAUAUAUUAUUGAAACUGGCAAAAAAUUUUAUUGCUAUAUAAGAGACAAAUCUUUUACAGUUUUAGGUUAGAAAUUUUGUGAAGUUUAAGGGUGUUUUAAGUUAGGUAUAUAGGGUUAAAGUAUACGAUGGUUUUUUUCAGUGUGAGUAAAUAAUAUUCUUCUAGGCCUUUGCUUUCCACUAUCUAUAACAUGCUAACAGCUGUUAUGUGCACUAUAAUCAGUGUUUUCACACUAUGCAACAAUGAUCUCUUGUUUAUCCAUCCACAUACCAAUAAAAACCCUCUUGGAUUCUGUAAGAUAUAUAAUUAAAAAGUAAAUUUAUUAUAUAUUUUAGUAUAUAUACAGCUAAUUAGCUUUUUGUUUUGAUAAGAAAUGUUUGUAUAUUUUAAUUACAACUAAUUUACUUUCUUAUGUAAAAUAAUUUAUAGAGGUGUUGAUUCAAAUGGAGAGUUACACAACAACCAAGAAAUUGGAGAGAAUUUCUUGGAUGGACUAUCAUCAAAAACCAUGACAAACACUAUGUUUGAUGAACCAGCUUGUGACUAUUUGAAGAAACUUGAUACAACAAGUUGGGAAUAUAAUACUAGUGGUUCAACUUCAUUCAAUACUAAUUUUGAGAAGCACUUAAAUGGGUACAGUGAAGCUCUUAUUGAGAAUAAUGAAAGGUUGACAAAAUUAUCCAAUCUUGUAAGCACUUGGUCUAUUGCCCCACCUGACCCUGAAGUUAGUAGCCACUUUGAUUCACAAACAAAUAACAAUUUGUCUACUAAUUUGAAUAAUUCUAAUUCGUCCAAUAUGGAUCAUAAUCACUACACACAUGAUUCUGACCCUAAUUGUCAUUUCAAACUACCUUUUGGUGAUUCCACAUCAUGUACUAUUAGAGAAGGAGUAGGUAAUAAAAUGUUCCCUAGUUGCCUUGAUAUUCAAGACAUGAAUAAGGUUAAGGAAGAAUAUCAUCAUCAUGCAAGUGAAGUGAUGCAAGGACAUGUAUUUAGAAAAUCACUUAAUCCAAAUGGAUAUCUUGAUGGAUUUAACUCAGUGGGAGAUCACAAUGGCAAAUUUUAUGAAGGGUUGCCAAAUAUUUCACCAUGCACCAAAAAUUUCUCAGAUGUUAUAUCCUUUAAUAGUAGGCUUGGAAGGCCAGUUGUUGGAAUCCAUCCACAAAGGCCUAAUAUGAGAUACUCAAACUUAUCUGAGUCAAAGAAACAAGGGCUUCAAACACCAUCACAUGUGAGUUUUUUCUUCUUCUUUUAUAGACAAAUUUUAUUUGUUAAUUUGUUUUGUUAGCAGCAUACAAAUUUCACUUAAAAUAGUGAUGAUCCAUCUUUAUAUCCUAUAUUUUUGAGAGAUCCAUAUUUUUCUAAAACGGUAAAAUUUAUUAAUAAUUAAGUUUCUGCACUAGACGAACAGAGACCUGUAAAAUAUAUAUGAGACAAAUCCGAAAAAAUAUAUGAAGUAGCGACAAAAAAUUUAAAAAGAAAUUUUUAUAAUGUAUUUGUCUCUAUAAAUUAGACAUGGAAAUUUAAUUAUUUUUGUUUCUAAUUUCUUGGUUGAUUUAACUUUUUUUAGUAUGGCAACUAAUUUCUAUUCAAAAUUUAGAGAAAAAGUCAUGCUAGCUCUGACAUUAUUUUGUCAAAUAAAAUGUGUAUGCAAUUAAUUUAUGCAGAUGAGAACCACUAAUGGAAGAGGAGAGGGAACAACACGUGAAGUAAAGAAGAAAAGAUCUGAAGAAUCAUCAGAAGCAAGUUUGAAAAAGCCUAAGCAAGAUACUUCAACAACAAAUUCAUCUUCAAAGGUACAUAAAUAUAUUUAUUAUAUAUUAUGUAAUAUACGUACCAACAUGAACUAAUUAUGAGUGUAAAAAAGUCAUAUAAAGUGGGGGAAACCUUUUUAUUUUGUGUAUUAAUGUAAAUUAAGAAACUUCUAUUGAUUGUUUAAAAGGUGCAAGCACCUAAAGUCAAGCUAGGAGACAAGAUCACAGCCCUUCAACAAAUUGUGUCUCCAUUUGGAAAGGUUACUACAGAAUGCACUAAUCCCCACACCCUCUUCCCUUUUUCAUUCCUAUCUUUUUUGUAUAAAUAAUUCACAGUGCUUUUACUUUUCUCACUACCUACUUCAUAAUAAUCAAUUUAUUUUAUUUUUCUUUGUUGAAUUUCAGACUGAUACAGCAUCUGUGCUGUUUGAAGCAAUAGGGUACAUAAAGUAUCUUGAAGAACAAGUCCAGGUGUGUAUCAUUAUGGAAAAGUUCCCAUUCAUUAUGCAUUAUAUGUAACUAUAUAGUAUAUAAUAUACAUUAUUGUUGCUUUUCUCCUCCUUUUCAUUUUUAAUUAAUGCCAAGGAAACUUGACUUCUAGGAUUAUUAGUUCUUUAUCAAAAUGAAUAAACUAACAACAAUGCUGUGUUGAGCGAUUACACAUUUUCCAUGAAUAUCUCAUGAGCUUCAUCAACUAUAUAAUAUAAGGAGAUUUUAAAUAACACCUAACUAAAAUCUAAUUAUGAUUAGUAAAAAUAUGUGCCCCUGCCAGUAUGUUAAUCUUAGCUGCAACAAAUUACAAAAUUGUAUACUAUUAGUAGAUUAAAAACAAAACAAAAUGAAAAAUAAAAAUUUUAUAGGGACUAAACAUGUUUAACCAUGUACCAAAAAAAAAACAUAUUUAACCAUAUAUACUUUAAGUGAUUAAAGAUGCAGGUUUUUUUUAUCAUAACCCUUCCAUUCCUAGAAAAUGGCCUAUAUAAUACAUGUUCCGGCCGGAAAGUAAGUAAAGUCUGACAAAUAAUCAUUUUAAGUCAUAAUUUGAAACCAAGUUUCUUCUAAACUAUUGGUAUUAAAGGUGCAGCUUCAAACACAAACAGUUCAACUAUAAGUAAUAUAAUCAUCUUUUUCUUCAUUAUAUACAAUUAACAGUUUAAUUUAUCUUUAAUUAAUUCUUUUUACGUUCAUAAUUAUUAUGCAGUUACUGAGCAACCCUUACUUGAAGGCAAAUUCACACAAGGUAAUUAAGAAAUUAAUCUAUAUAUAGAUAUCUCUAUUAAGUACUUUUCAAAAUUAAAUUAUUCUCUCAAAAUUUCACUCUUAAUUAGAGAUGAUUAACAUAAUAAUUAAUCCAGGAUCCAAGGGGAAGCUACUUCGAUAGAAAAGAUAAGGAGGAUGCAAAGCUAGACCUUCGAAGUAAAGGUCUUUGUUUAGUUCCUACUUCAUGUACCCCUAUAGUUUAUAGAGAGAACAAUGGGCCAGAUUACUGGACACCAGCGUAUAGAGGAUGUAUGUAUAGGUGAUUAAUAACACAUGCAUAUGACUUAUGCCAAAAAUAGUAUGUGGUUGUAUGUACUAUAAUCUUGGAAAUUAUAAGAUCUCGUCAAUAAAUCAUAUAUUAUCCUGAAUGUAACUAUUUAUUUAUUGUCUUGAUGUAAUGCCUGGUUACACGAGUAUACACAUUUUAGUUGACCUUCAAACAAGGGCUAGUACUUAGCAUUAUUGAUUUUUCUUUUUUUAAAGUUCUCUUACUAGAAAGAAUGUGUUUUUCAUACUAAAAAAUUACUUGAGUAAAAAAAACGAUAUUAAUAAAAAGACUCUUAAAGUAAAAAUGUUUCUCUCAGUGAUAUAGACAAAAGAUGCACAUUUUACCAAUUUAGCUCUCCAAUUACAAACAAAUUAUUAACAGUCACAAUUGUUGGAUGAUGUAAAAAUUUGACAUUAACUAAUGUUUUUUUUACGGAUUAAUAAUUUUUUUCUACGAAUAUAUAUUCAAUUUUCAUUUUCUAUAGUUUUAUUCAAAUUGCUAACGAAGGAAAUGAAACACUCAUGUAAUGUAUAUGUGUGAUAGGGAGAAGGUGAUAAGCAAACUAGCUAGGAUGAAUGUAUUUUCAAAAUCAAUGAAAAUAAUGUUUAGGCACUUUCAAAGUUUAUCAAAAAGUUUUAUAUGUUUUAAAAAAAAUGUAAAAGAAGAUUGUGAUGAAAAUAUUCUUUUAUGUUCAUUUGUUGAAGUGAAAAUAAAAAAAAAUAAAAUAAUAUUUAUUAGGUAUAAUUCAGAGUAUAAUUAAUCUCACAUUGAGUCUCUCAUUAGUUGGUUAGUCAAAAGAAUAUGAAAUUCAUUUUAUUUUCUAAUCGAAAAUUAAUUAUAGCGAAGCAAUUAGAUAAUUCACACCUAUAAUACAAUCUUUAAUUUUCUAAUAGGUGUAAAUUCUCUUAUAGGUGUGAAUUAUAGCAAUUAGGUAAUUUUCUAAUACAUACCUAUAAAAUUAUCUAAUCUAAUUGUUAUAAGAAACUUCUAAGGUACACUCAGAAAGUGAGGUGUACCGGUACUCAUGCUUCAUAAUUUUAUAAAUUAACGAUCAUUUUUUAUGAAAUAAAUAGUUAUUUGUUAAUAUUAAUAUUUUAUAGAACAUCAUUUCAUAAGAAAAAACAUCAUUUCAUUGUUUAUAAGAAUUAUAAUAAUUUUUUUUACAUAUUAUCAUAAAAAAUAAUCAAUGUUCUCAAUUAUGAGUGAAAAAAAUUCAAAAAAAAUUAAUUUUAUUUCGUUGACACUUUUGAUAAAUAAGAUUUAAUUAUUAUAAUUAUAGAUGAUAAAAAAUAAUAUUUUUCUUUAAAAAAACAACUCAUUUAACUAUUAAUUUAAAAAAUGAGUAUACCAAUACACUCAAAUAUAUUGGAUGUACCAUAAAAUUUGCAUUGUUAUAAUUAUCUUAUACCGAAGUAAUUAGAUAAUUCACAGGUGUGAAUUUUUUGAUGAUUGUAUUAUAAGUGUGAAUUAUCCAAUUGCUUCGCUAUAAUUAAUCUCCACCUAAAAUUUCACUAAUCAACUUUAGUUGAGUCUCUCUUCUCAAUUACUACCUUCGUCCUAAUUAUAAGACUCUUUUGAAAAAAUAAUGGGAAUUAAGAUAGUGGAUAUUUGUAUUAAAUAUGUUUGUAAUUACUAUUGUUUUUACAAUUUUAUCCUUUAAGAAAUAGGGUUGGCUUAUGUUUUCAACAUUUUAUUUAUUGCUGAUUGAAGAAAAAGAUGUAUAAUAAAUAGGGGCAUGUAUGUAAAGAAAUAAUUAAUGUAGUUGGAAAUAGAAAAGGGGUCUUAUAAAAAGGGACAAAAUUUUUUUCUCAAAAGGGUCUUAUAAUUAGGGACGGAGGUAGUAUGUUUUUUUUUCUUCAUCCAAAAAAACCCUUUUUAAAGUGAAAUAUCAUAGAGUUAUUUAUUUUUUCGCAAAGGACUCACCAAAUAAUGUAUACAUCACCUCAAACCCUAGUCGUCACCCUUUUCUUCUUCUUUUCAGAGGGGUGAUUUAGGGUUAUUUUUGACACAAAAUCACCCCUCCGAAUUGUUUUUUCUUCUAUCAUAAUUAAAUAACUGAUUUCACAUAUUUUCAGUUUUCUUUCGUUUGAUUUGUGAUUACGUCGUCUCUGAACGACUCUGUUUGUUUUGAUUUCCCGUCUUUAUCCGGUGUGUUUUUGAUUUCCCAUCUUAGUGCGGUGUUUAUUUGAUUCAGGUUGAAAGAUUAGCUUUAAGCAAGUGCAGAUCCGAUCAAUGACAAUGACUUUGGCGUCGUCAACGUUGCAGAUUCGGAGACAUGAGUAUUCCGGAGACAUGAAUAUAGUCAUAUUAAUUAUAUUUGUAGGCAUAGGUACUUUGCCGUUUUAUGCUAUUAACAUGGAUGCUGUGAGUUUGUUCACAGAUUCAUCCUUUUUAUUUUUAGCAAAUUUGAAUUUGUAUUGUAUCGAUGUACUCUAUCAAUUUGAAAGAAUGCAUAUUGUUUAUUUUUGUCAAAAAAAUAAUAAUAAUGUAUACAUCACCUUAUACCGUAAGAAGCAUAAAAGACACUCAUUAACAAAAUAUUUGAAUAAGAAAGCAUAGCCUGAACUAUAUAAGCUUUGGAAAGUUAAUGAAAACAAAAUAUAGUUCUCCAAAUCUAAAAACCAAGCUGAUUAAAAUUGUUGAAAUUGAACAUUUGAGUUGACUCUAGUGUUUGUCACGAUCAAUUUGCAAGAGAAGGACCAAAUUUGACAUGUAAAUCAAAAUAUUUGAUAAAAGAAUUAGUGUGCAUGUUCAUCACCUGAUGUACAGAGAAAAAUACUAAAUAAAUUAUAUAUUCAUGGAUGGUCAACUGAGAGUUAGCUAAGUGUGCAUCACAUUAAAAACUUUUGUAAUAUAUUGUAACUUUUUAGGUUAUUGUCACUAAUUCUCAGUACUUUAGAAUAUGUGAAAUUGUAGAUAGAUUCUUCAUAUAUAUAGAAUCUUCAUACAUAAAAGGUUCACACUCCAUUUUAUACUCCUUAAAUAUGGUAUCGUUUUUAAUUUUUUUUGUAUAAUCAGUAGAAUCAUAUUAUUAAUUGACUGUAGAAAAACAAAACCAUAUAUGGUGGAACAGCAUGGAUGGUUUUGAACAUGUCCACUCACUAACAUUGAACGAUUUAGGAUGAUUUAAACAAGUAAAAGAUGGGAUUGAUUCUAGAAGUAGAGAGAAUGACGUAUUGUUAAGUGCCAAUGAGAAAUUGGUCAAAGGGGAGAUGAGCAAAAAAGCCAAUUGCAAGGUUGGUGGUGCACUCAAACAUAGAUCAGUCAUGCUUCUUAUAAUGACAACCAAGACAAACACACCACCCUCACAAAUCCUCACAAUUUUUUUGGAACAAAAGUAGUUUUUUUUUUUCAUAAUCCAAAUAUAUGGAAUUGAUAUAAUGAUAUAAUUCAUUUCAGUAAUUUUGAAAUUGAUAGUAAUUUCAAAUUUUUAGAAACAUCACUCCCUUCUUUUUCUCUUCUCCUCUUUUCAUCUUCUUCGUUCGUCGAUAAGGAGUGGUUUAGAAUUAAUUUUUUUUGGCAUAAAUCACUCAUCUAAUUAAUUUUUCUAUCUUUUUAUAUAAGUGAUUUUUCGUAUAUUUUUUUUUUUUGUGAUUUUGUCAAUUUAGUACGGCCUAUUAUUUUGUUUGCCAUCUUUGCUGCUAUGUUAGUUUGUUUUUUCGUUUUGUUCUGGUGUUUAUUCUAUUUAAUUGAUAUAUUAGAUUUGAUCUGAAAGCAUUGAUAUCUCAAACACUUUAAUUUUAUUGCAUUGAUAGGCUUUAUCAUAUUUGUAUUUAUAUUUUUCUCAUUUUCCUUAUGUUCUGAGAUAGAAUAUCAAUCAUGGCAAUUUGAAUUUUGAAAUGAUAGGAAUUGAUAUUCACUUUGGCAAUUUUGAAAACUACGGAAUUGAAUUUUGAAAUAAUUUAGAUCUAAAAGAGUUGAUAUUUUUUAACCUUUUUUUUUUUUUUUGUUUUUUUACCUAAAAAAAUAUUUUUUUUCUACAUCUUGUUCGUAUAAGGAUAUUAAUUUAUUUUAUAGACUAAUAAAAAGAUUAACAUCCUUCUUCUUCUUCAGCCUACAAACUAGUUCAUCACCACCACCGACAACCUCCAUAACACUGUUAAACGUUUAAAUCCAACAUCAACAAUAGCAAACAACACCAAGAACCAUUUCCUUCCAAUAAACAAACACAAACUAAAAAUUCUUAUUCAUCGUCAACUCAAACUCAUACCACAAUCUCCGUCAUCAUCAUCGCAAUACCAGAAAACAUUUUCCCUUCAAACUAACAAACCCAAACGAAGAAACUUGCAAACUCGCUUUUGUUGCCUAUAAUUGGAUUUGCACCAUAAGAAUUUUGUUUGUGAAUUUAGAUGGUUUUAUGCUUUUAUGUGGUCGAACGUGGCAUUUGAAGCACUUUCCAUUAACAAUGUUGAUAAACUUUUUUGAACAAACAAUGUUGAUAAACUUAAAGUUGGAUGCAAUAAGCUAUUAAGGUUCAUAGUGCAAAUCGUUUUCUUUUGUUGCUAAGUUUUUUUUUGUUUUUAAAUCUUUCUUUUAUUGGAUUUGGUCCCUUGCCAAUUUCAUUUUUUUUGGUUUUCGUCCCUCUCACUUAUUGACUAAUCAACUCAUUUGCCACGUGUCAUUUGCUUGCCACAUCAUCCAUUGUCACGCCAUCAUCUGAUUGCUCUCAUACAUGUUUUUGUAACAAAUGAUGACAGCAUGAAUGAAAAUCAAAACGUUUGCAUCUUACAUAAUUUGUAUAAAAAAAUGUUUUGAGCCUGAAUUAGAAGAAGCCCGAUCUCUUUUUUUACCAUAUCAUUAAAAAUUUAUAAAGACAAUAUUUUAAACUUUUCUAAUUACCUUUUACGCCAUCAAUCACUUUUAUAUUACCAUUUUUGUAUGUGUAUAGAAUUUUUUUAUACAAUUUCGUCAAAUUUAAUGGAAAAUAUAACAUAUAGCACAACUCUUUUAACAAAGGUUAUAAGUUCAAUCCAGCUAUGAAAUGUAGCAAUGUUAAAUAUUUUGAAGAGAAGCAUUGCGAUUCAUUGCUUUUCAUCAUCUCCCAUUUUGAUGAAUGAAUUGGUAGCAAUUCUCUUUUUAAUUCGUUCAUUCAUGGGUGGAGCUGGGCUUUGUUUCUUCCAUGCCUCCUAAUUGGCCUUUUAUGUAACUUUGCUUUUCGGAAAUUGUUUUUCUCCAUUUUGUUUUUGCUUAUUUUAUUUAUAUGUCUACGUGAGGGACGUUAUACCCCCACACCUCUACACUUAUAUCUUACCCAACAAUUUUUAAAAAUUCCAAUUUUACCCCUUUUACUAUAUAAUCUUUUACACAUAAAUUUUUCACCCUCAUUUUCAACAUCUCUUAAUUAAGGAUGAGUUCACCGCCACAUGAUAUUUUUCUUGAUACUUAUUUCCUUUUUUGUUUUUCACUAUCAAACGUUUCCGAAAAUAUUUCGGAAUAUUCAUAUAUACGUUUACAAAAAUAAUAUGAGAACUAGUCUCUCUUCAAAUGAAUGAUGCAACACAACUUAUCUUUCUCCUUUGAUGGAAAAAAUUGUUCUAAUACCAAUUAUUGAAAGAAAAAAUCAAUAAAAAAUCUUUAAACAAGCGGCAACACAACCACAAAAUAUGUAAAAGAGACAAAAACAAAUCACAAGACUGUUUAUCGACACUUCACACCUUCAUUCAUAAUAUCUUAACAAAAUAUUUGUUACAAAAAUAUGCAUACUUUUACUAGGAAUUGCAAACCCUCUUAUACAAUUAUAAUUUUUGCAUAGAUAUAUGCAAACUAAUCUUUCUCAAUUACAAUUUUUGUAAGAAAAACUACAAACUCUUUUAUGACACACAACUACCCAACCUCUUUUUUUUUUUUUCAUUACUCGAUGUGCGAUGUGAAAGAAUAUCAAUUUUAGAGAACAAAUGACUAUAAUUUAUAGGUGGCCUUUAUGAUUUUUCGCACAAAUUUUCAUACUGUGAAAUGUGAAUAGAUGCAUGUGCAGAGAUGGAGUUCAUAAUUUAAAUCUUACGUUAAAAAUAAAACAAGUUUUUAAUGUUAUAGUUUAAAAAUAAAAAAUUGUUUCUUAUAUACAAUAUUUUUAUGAAUAUUUACAUAGUUUUUAAAAAAAAUUAAUAAUGAAUGGUAUAUUCGUGUCCUGUAUGACACAAUGAAACAUAUGCACAUGAAUAAAUUAUACAUUAAGCCUAAUCAUAUGAUCUGAAAAGAUUUUCUCUACAUCUCGUCGAGCUAGCAAGGUAGAUAGAUGUCAACUAAUAUAUAUACAUUAAUUUUUAAUUUGAAUUUUUUUUAACAGCGUUGGAUUGACUUAUAUGUGAUAUUUUAUUUCAUAUUAGGGUAGAGUCUGCUCAUUGGAAACUGAAGCAAAUGUUGGAAAACAGCAAAGAUGACUUGUGCAAAUGUUGGAAGGGUAUGCACAACAUGAAGUUGCAAUUAGGAAAAAUCAUAGCUUCAUUUCAAAAAAGUUUUUAUGAAGUUGAACACGCACACACAAGUCUAUUUUAUGAAAAAUUGCGUGGAUUUGUUUCUAGAGCUGCUUUAACAUGCAUUGUUGUUGAGUUUGAAAGAGUUAGAUAUAUGGAAAUCGACGAAUCGACAUGUGGUUGCAAACUCAGAACAACAUAUGGAUUGCCUUGUGCUUGUGAGUUAGGAAGAUAUAAAAUUAGUGGUAUACCUAUACCAUUAGAUUCAAUUCAUAUUCAAUGGAAGAAAUUAAGCAUGGAAAAGUCAACAAGAGGAAGACACGGAAACUGGAUAAAACGAUUGAAACUAAUAAAACCUUAUUAUAUGACUAAUAGAAUAAAAACACCCCCUUUGAAUUACAAAGUGUGGCUAGAAGGGAACAAAUACAUUAUACAGUAUAAGCAAAGAGUGUGUUAAUUACUUACAUGACCAUACCACAGGGAGCUUUUCUAUACUUGACAUUAAAUUUAAGACAGUACACGUUUACUUAAGCUUAAUUUUACUAUAUUUAGUUAGCAAAAACAGCUUUUCAACUACAGUAGUUGUUUGAAUCCUUUAAAAAAAUACAAGUAAUUGUUUUAACUUUUAAUCACACAAAUAAACUACUCCAAAAUCCAAAUACAUAAACAAGCUUGGCUAAUGUGCUCUUGAUCUUUACAGACAAAGCAACAAUCACCCUUUAAAGUCUAAACAAUCCCAUUACUUAGAGAUACACAUAAGAAAGCACAAAGAAGCCAAAUCCGAUAUAAAAAAUAAAUGUGAUACAUACACAAGUCACAUAUAAAUAAUACUUCAUCAUCAGGGAACAAUAUAUCAGUCUUUUCCAUGUACAACGAUUCAUUAAGCAAUUAAAAUAGCAAUUGCUAAUAAGAGGCGCGGACAUGACCUCAAAAUAACAGAAUUAUCACAACAGACAACAAGUAAGGAUGGAAUAACACAAUUAAGUAAGUAAUGGACAUAGUAUGAAUAACUAAAUGAAUUCUACGAAAACAAUGUAACUAUAUUUCAUUUCCAUUAAUUGCAUAUAUAGAGGUAACCUUGAUCAGUAGUAUAUCUAUGCCCAUUAAUUAGUAUAUCUAUAAAAAAAAAUAGUAGAUCAUGACAAAAGCUACUUCAGAGAGUUAAACAAAAAAUUAAAAAAGUAAUUUUUUUUUGCGCCUGAACUGGAAUUCUUGGCCAAACGAUUCCGGGAAUAAUUAACCGAAAUACUUUGAACGCGUUUUCCGGAAACUACCGGAACACUUCACACAUGGUUUCCGGAAAUCAACCGGAACACUUUGGUUAACACGAUUCCUCGGACGAUUCCAUGAAAGGACGACGGCAAUAUUUCCAGAAAACGGUUUCGUGGAAGGAUUUAUAACACUAACCCAGAAAAUUUUGAAAAACCUAACCGUGAACGAUUCGUGAAUGAUUCCAGAAAAUAAUUCAGAACAAACACAUGGAAUUAGUGGAUGAGACAGAACACAGAAUCAGAAUAAAUGAUGCUUACUUGUUUGUUGGAAGAAGAAUCAGAAGAGGGUUUUCCAGAAAAGGGGAUUGAACGUUGAAGGAGAAGGGUUUAGAGUGUGUGGGGGUGAAAAGUGAAGGGUAAUUUUGGUAGUUUGUGUUAAAUGUUGGGGUAUAGGUAUAAAUGUAGGGGUGUAGGGUAUAACGUCCCUACGUUAACUCAUGUUGAAAAAAUCGAACGUGAGUUAACUCACGUUGGGCAUAAUUAAGGGAAUGAGCAAUUUAUUGCUUUUUUCAAAUAAAAAGUUGCUUAAAAACACAUGAAAAUGACACAAACCGCUGUAGUUAUCUAAGCUUAGGGUUUUUGGUCAUUUUCAUGUGUUUUUAAGCAACUUCUUAUGUGAUUUUUUUUUUUUUUUUAAUGUUUGUAACAGCUAAGUUUAUCAACUAUUAGUCAGCUUAUAGUUUCUUAUAAUAAUAUGAGAUUUCUUUUUGGGCGAGCGUGUUUAGUUUUUUUUUAAUAAAAAUAGAUAAAUAAAAUAACUUUAAUCAUUUAAUAGUGUUUGUUUAGGUUUUUAUUUUAAAUAUUAUUGUUUUACUCUAAAAUGAAAAGCUAUUAGAAUUAACUAUCUUUAAAAAUUUUUUUUUUUUUUCAAAAAUAUAGAGGUAACACAUGAACAAGUUUUUCUAAAAAAAAAAACAAUUAUUUUUAUAGAAGUAAACAAACAGAAAUAAUUUCAGAUUUUUUAAAGAAACCUCUAAAAAGAUCUCUAGAUUUUUAUAAUACAAAAUCUUUUUUCUUUUUAAGUUGAAACAAAACACCCUUAAUCUCUUUUAUUUGAUUUACCCUAGUUACAUCGCAUAAACCUUGAAUUUCACCAUUUCUAGAAAGAAAAAAAAAGGGUUAAAUAUGUUUUUGGUCUCUAUAAAUAUACCAACUUUUCGUUUUAGUCCCUCUAAAAUUUUCCUUCAACUUUUAGUCCCUAAAAAAUUUUCAAUUACUACUUUUGGUCCCUAUUUUUAAUUUAAUUUUUGUAUUUUUUAAUAAAAUUGUACAGAAAUGUGUAAAAUAUUCUAAAAAAAAUAAAGAAAUUAGAAUUUUUUAACAAAACACAAAUUAAAUAUGAAUUUUUAACUGUAAAAAAUAUAAAAAUUCAUAUUAAAUUCAUGAUUUGUUAAAAAAUUCUAAAUUUUUUUUGAAGUGAUUCUUAUAAUAUUUUGAAUUUUUAUGGAAAAUUUUAUUAAAAAAUAUGAAUUCUAGAUAUGAGUUUACUUUAAAAAGAGACCAAAAGUGAAAAUUGAAAAUUUUAUAGGAACUAAAAGUUGAAGGAAAAUUUUAGAGGGACUAAAUGAAAAGUUGACAUAUUUAUAGGGACUAAAAAUAUAUUUAACCCAAAAAAAAAAUACCCUUAAUUUGUUUUCAAAUUUUAACGUGACCACUGCAGCAACUAUAGACAAGGGAAAAUAUGGCGAUACACGCAGACUCCAUCGGUAAGAAACCUAGGUGUUUCUAGAAAGUUUAGUGGAAUAAUGAUAGUCAUAGUUGAGUCUCAUUGUUUACAAAUGCCAUUUGUAAAUUUUAUUUUGAAGGUGAGAAAAACACAAGAAGGGGGUUGAAGUGUGUUAACUUUUUCUUUUCUUUCUCUAUCUGAAACAAGCAGGUCAGAAGCAGGUAGAAUUCUACUUCUGAAGAGAUGUUCAGAACUAAAUGCAGCGGAUACGAAUAGAGAGAAAGAGAGAAAAAAGACACAGACAAUUUAUACAGGUUCCUUCCACAAACUGGAAGUCAGUCAUGUCCCCCUUGCACUUCCAAGGGGAGUUCACUAUGUAAUAUCUGAUUACAAAUGCUCACUACUAAACUUAGUAUGAGACUUCAAAUUGCUCAAGCACAACUGCAAGAGACUUCCUAUGCUCCUGAACACAAUCAAGAGACUUCUAUUGCUCAAGCACAACUGCAAGAGACUUCUAAAUUCAAACAGAAUUACAAUGAAAAAUGUUUGAGGUUGAACACUUGAUAUACAAUCAAUGGUGUUCACAAUACAAAUCACAGACUCUAGAAUUCCUAAGAUAUAAGCUUUGUUAUGAAAUUCUAAGUGAACUUUGAAGUGAAGAGCAAUUUCAACAGAGUUUUAGCUUAACUGAUGCGUAGUAUUGUUCUUUAGUAACUCUGAGUCUUCACUCCUUUAUAUAGAGUUGUGAAAGAGACGUUGAAAUGUCUUCUUAUUCAAAAUAGAGUCGUUUGAAGCUCUUGAUCUAUCACCAAUGAUCUUUUGCCUGAUAUGGUUAUUGUCCUAUGAAGGAUCAAUUUCAAAUGUGUUCCCAAUGUGAAUAAACAUUGUUGCAGGCAGAGCUGUUAUCCUUGUCUUGUAGCAGAGACAAACUCAUAAUAGUGGAGGUAGUGGUUGUACACUUCGUACAAACGUACUAUGUCAACGCUCUUUGAAGAAAAAGCAUCCAAUGCAUUUCAAAAUAGUCGUGCCACAAUUUUCCAGUCUUCUGCAAUCUUUAGGCGAGUUAGAGUCCUUGAAACAGCUUUUGAAAAUUUAAGUUCAAUCUUCUGAUGAACUGCAGCUUCUGGUGAUACACAGCUUCUGAUGAACUUGCUUCUGAUGACGUCAUCACUUCAGAAGCACUUUGUCUUUAGGCGCACUUCAAACUUCAGGAGCAGUUUUCUUCAGACGCUCGAAGCUUCUCUUUUUGUUGAUAUACUUGCUCUUUAUUUGUUCUUUGAAGACCAAUUUAAUAUGACAAUUUUUUUUCUAUAGUCCUGUACACUUGAACAAAUAUUAGCGUAUCCAAUUGACAAUUUUUAAUACUUUAUUAUCAUCAAAACUCUCAAGGGUUAUUAUUGCUAAACAAAUUUUAUUCCAACACAUUUUACAUACAUAAUCAAUCAAACAAUAUGUUACUCGCAUUUCUUUUUACUUUAUAUUUAGUUAUGUUUUUAUUAGCUUAGUUCUCAAAAAUCACAACGGAAGAACGUAGUUUCUUUCUACUUUAUACUUACACUCUUUAAAGAAUGGAAGAACAUCGUUUCUUUCUUGGCAUAAUCGUUUGGAGGAAAAGAGAAUCAUUGUUGAGAUCUAUUAGCCAGUUCAUCAGCUAAUUUGGCAACAAUUUGUAAUAAUAAAAUUGUUGUAUUAAUAAAAACAAAGCAAGGUGAGGACUAAAAAUUACCAAAUAACUGUGUGAAUAUUGGUAAUAAGAUAGGAAAUAAGAGAAGGAGUGAUAAAGAAAGGGGUAAGGGCUACAAGGGUCAGUGGCCCCAAACCAUCAUCUACGAAGGACACAGUAGCCUGUGCAAUAGCAGCAUGUACAAUAGUGACAUAUUUUACCCUCCAAUUCAUCACUCUUUGCUAGCAAGAAAACUUUUAAAUUUUACCACACAUAAUUAAUUUUCCAAUACAAAUUAAAUGAAAGAAAACACACAUAGAAAGAGAUAUUGUUAUAUAUGCAUACGGGUGGACAAGCAUGCAUGUAAAGUAGCAAAAUAAAUUAUUUAAAUAUUCAUAUGACACAAAAUGAUUGAGGAAUAUAACAAGAGAGGGUAGCUAAAUUUUACACACAAGAAAACAAUAGCCAGAAGAUAAAUAGCUAGGUAUAUUGUUUUCUUCUCCUCGUCUCUUCAUUACUCUUGUCUCCUUAGAUCCUUUCCUCUUGCAACCUUUUUGCUCUCAAUCUGUGAGUUUUUUUUUCUACUUUUUCUUCUGACAUGAAAAAAACAACCACAAAAAAAUCAAAUAUAUAUAUAUUUCAGCUCUUUCUAGCUUCUUUAAAUUAUUUUGUUAUAUAGUUUCUUUAAUUUAACUGAUCUCUUUUUUGUUAUCCUUGUUCCAUGAGAGAAGGAAACAUGUUAAUGAAAUUUUUCUUUUAGAAGAAGAAUUAAACAUUUGAUUAUUAAGUUUUUGUUUAAAAAUUUCAGAUUGCAAAAUAUAUAAUUAUGGCGGCUGCUUCUUCAUCUACAUCAUUCUUUGGAAUCAGAGAAGAAAAUCAAAGUCAAAUAACACAUCAUCAUCCUCAUCCUCAAUCAACUACUACUUCUGCUACUUCCUCAGCUCCUUCAACCACAGUUCCUCAAAAGAAAAGAAGGAAUCAACCUGGAACACCAAGCAAGUAGCUUAAUUAUUUUUAUUUUCAUUAUUACUUAAAGCUUCAACAUGCACACACCCUUCUCGAAUUUUUUUUUUUUUUUUUUUUUGUAUUAUUUUCUCAAAAAACAAGCAUAAUGAAACCCUAAAUCAUGAACAUGAGUUAGGGCUCUGAAUUUCUUUUACAAAAAAGCUAUAUAAGAACUAUGUUUAGGGUGCAUGCAGUCUCCUCCAAUUUUAUUCUCAAAAGCAUAUGAGACUUCGGUUUUAAUUUUUGUAAUAAUUUUUCUAACUUCUACUGUUUUUUACUACUAUUACCAUGAGUUUGUGGCUUUUAAAUGGAAAAAAUAACAAUAAAACAUAGUUCUUCAUUUCAUGGUGCAUAUAUAUUCAAUUAUGAAUACUUCUUUUGAUGUUAAAAAAACUAGAAUUUUAUAAUAUUUUUCUUAUACAAAAAAAUAUAUAAUAUUUUGUUGUUUUGGCAUUUUUCAUGGUAAAAAGAUCCAGAUGCAGAAGUGAUAGCACUAUCUCCCAAGACUCUAAUGGCAACAAAUAGAUUUAUAUGUGAGGUUUGCAAUAAAGGGUUUCAAAGGGAGCAAAAUCUUCAACUUCAUAGAAGAGGACACAAUCUUCCUUGGAAGCUAAAGCAAAAGUCCAACAAAGAGCCAAGGAGAAAGGUUUAUUUGUGUCCUGAGCCCACAUGCGUCCAUCACGACCCUUCAAGAGCUUUAGGAGAUCUAACUGGAAUUAAAAAGCAUUUCUCUCGUAAGCACGGUGAGAAGAAGUGGAAAUGUGAAAAAUGCUCAAAGAAAUAUGCUGUUCAAUCUGACUGGAAAGCACAUUCUAAGACUUGUGGUACUAGAGAAUAUAGAUGUGAUUGUGGCACCCUCUUCUCUAGGUAACAAACAUCAUCUUUAUAUUUAUAUCUUCACAUCGAUGUUAGUCUAAUUAUAUUUCAUAAAUAUGAAUUCAUCACUCUAUAUACAUAAUAUAUGCUACACUUUUGCCAAAUGUUAGGGUUAUACUUAUAUGGUUUGGUAUUGAAUAUUAUUUUAUUUUAUAGAAGUUAGUGUUUGAUUAUUUUUUUACUACCAAUUUUAUUAUAAGAAUUCGAUUAUUUUAAUCAUGUUUUUUUUCAUCAUUCAAUUGCAAGGAAAAUGGUCAUAAGUCAUAACAAUCUGAAGUUUUGCAAGAAAGCAAGUAAAAUCCAACCAAACCGUAGAUCAAACUCAUAGACUCCUUAUAUAUCGUUCUCUUUCUUUCCUCUUCGUAUUGAGCUCUAAUUUAUCUAAAUUGAAGUACUCUUUAAACUUCUUUACUAAGGAACCUUUUACAUAUAAAAAGGUGUGUGUAUAUAUAUAAAUAUAAUAAGUUGAAUUUUUUUACAAUAAGUAAAAACACACAAAGGUUAAAUUUGAACAACAGUCUCUUUUAUGUUCUUAUCCCAAAAAAAAGUGAACAAGAGCUUUCACCCUUUCUCUGUUAGUUUGUGUUUGGGUGUUAGUGAAGGUGUAUAUUGUAUGGCGCAGGAGACUGCAUGCACGUGAGUACACUGUUCAAAUGUAGUACAAAAAUUGAAAUGUUUGAAGGAAAAAAAAUCAACUUUGGUUUUAGGGAACCGUGCCCAUAAUCUUUUAACGUUCACGUGUAGUGAAACAACAUAAUAACUUUGUUCUCAUAUGAAAUGGAUUGGAGGAGAUGCUGGGUUUUGUUCUCUUUCUUGUUAGCUAUUUCUAGUUUUCAAAAUUCAAAUACAUUUCCAUGUUCUUUUUAGCAAUGGGUCCAAGGUGACUAAUUUCCAUGUUACUAACAGAAAAUUCUCUUCAUUAAUUGGUCAUGUUUCUCAUAUAGAUUUGCUAGAAAUUAUGUGAUAUAACGAAUUAUCUUGGUAGAAUAUAGACAAGUAUUGAGGUUGCUUGCAUUUAUUAAGUAGGCCCCAUAUUGAAAUUUUUGAGUAUUGACUUUCAUCAUAGUUGCAAACAAUUCUCUCUUUUAUUGAUCAAAGAAAGACCUCAAAUUAGAAGUUUGAUUUAGAAAUUCUUGGUUUGUUUCAAAUUUUGGCAUAAUCCCAUGGGCCCUCUACUUCAAUUGUAGUUUUCUUAAUUUCAACAUACUAUACUAGUUUCAAUUAAUUCCAAUUAAAACAAUUAGGUUACUCAUAUUCAUUACACAAAUAUAUGGGAUUAUAAUAUGAACUUCCAAAGGCGAACAUAACUAUUUUUGGUAAAUUUUAAUACAAUAUUAGAUAUGUUCUCCUUUUUACUAUAUAUGGUAGGGGUCUACAUUAUACCCACCCAAAAAAAUUGACAAUGAUAUAUAUAUGUUGCUUAAUUCUUUGUAAUUAAUUUUGGUGCAGGCGUGACAGUUUCAUCACUCAUAGGGCAUUUUGUGAUGCACUAGCACAAGAGAGUGUAUUAAGACACCAUAACCCUUUUGGGAGUACUCAUCAAUUGUAUGCCACAAACCAUCACAUUAGUUUAGGCCAAAUAUCCCAUCAAUUGCAAAAUCAUCAGAACCAAAUUACAUCAUCCACUAGCAACAAUAACAACCUUUUGCGCCUUGGAUCAGCACCACCAAAAUUUGAACAAAACUUAAUCUCAUCACCACCUUUAAAUCACUCUUCAUCAUUUGGACACUCAAUCCCAUCUUCAUCACCAUUCUUCAAUAUGAGUGAUAUUUCAAAUCAAUCCUUUGAAGAACAACAAUCUCAACAAGGACAAUUCUUAAACAAACAACUACAUGGUCUAAUGCAUCUUCCUGAUCUUCAAGGCAAUACAAAUACAAACAAUUCAAAUUCUUCCAAUCUUUUCAACCUUAUGGUUCAUGAUCAAUUCAACAACAUGAGUAGUACCCAAGGAACAACACUUUACAUUAACAACAAUAGCUCUUUAAGUGAUCAUCAAGUUGGUUUUGUCAAUUCAAUGCAACAUGGUCAAAACAUGUCUAGUCCUCACAUGUCUGCCACUGCAUUGCUUCAAAAAGCUUCUCAGAUUGGUUCAACUAAUUCUACCAACAAUAACAAAGGUAGUAAUAAUGAUCAUAAAUCAGGUGAUAGGGACUUUGUUGUGUCUGAUCACAACAACAUCAAUGCCACUUUUGGAAAUAGAAGUUCAAGUAUUGAAAAUGAUCAUGACAACAACGAUCUUCAUGGAUUGAUAAACUCUAUUGCAAAUGGAAACACAUCAUCCAUAUUUGGCAAUGAAAGCAAUCUUAAUAUGAGAUUUGGUGGAUCUGAUAAGUUAACUUUAGAUUUUCUUGGUGUUGGAGGAAUGGUCAGAAAUAUGAGUGGUGGAUUUUCACAAAGUGAACAACAACGUGACAUGAUGAAUACUAGUAUGGUUUCUUUGAAUCAUGACCUAAAAUCAGCACAUUCAAGUCAACAUUUUGGAAGCUCAAAUAUCUUGCAAUGAAGAUUGGGGUGAGAAAUUUAUUAAUUUAAGGAAAUAUUGCUUGUUAGUUACAUGUGAAUUAUUCAUUAAUUAAGUAGUAAACUUUGUUUCAAACAUUUAUUUAUUUUAUUUUUGUUUUCCUCAAAAGAAGUGCAGUUCAUUGGUAAAAUGAGGUUCCAAUUCUAGAAAUUACUACAAAUUACAAUCCCUUAUUUUAUUUUAACACGUCCCUUUCCUUAUUCUUUGCUCUCUAUGAUGUGAUAGAGAGAUGUAAUAAAUUCACUUUUGAAUUUCAUGUGUGAGCGAACAUGAGAUAAUAAAGUUUAUAGAAAAAAAAAAUUGAUUCAUUAUAGAUUUUCCUCUAAGAAAAUUAUUUCUCAAUCACAGAGGGUAAAAUUCCAUGCUCGAACCAAGAAAAAAUAUUCAACCUAACAAUUUCAGCAUUGUUAGUUGUGCUAGGUUUUACGGACCAGGACAUCAUCGUUGUCUACCAAUUUUUUUUUACAGAUUUGAGGCGAUUUAAUUUGGUUGAUAAACACGAGUAAAUUACUCAAAUGCCCCUUGGCAGUUAACUGCCGAAAUUUUAAAAAAUCGGCUGCAGUUAACUGUCGAGAAAUUUCAAACCUGAAAUUAAAUAAGGAAAUACACCUAUGUUUUCCUUAAUUAAAUUUAAAUCUUUAAUCCUUUUAAGGAAUUAAACAUAAUUAUUUUUAUGAUUUCAUUCAUAUGAUUUUGUUGCUAUAAAUGAAGAAAUAUGAGAGAUGAAUAAUAUCUGUAAUCGGUAGUUAAUAGACCUAAAAUGAUGAUUCAAUAAAAAAAAUGCAACAACAAAAACGUUACAAAUGAUAGAAUAAUUAUAUUUGUAAUUAUUAGUAAUUAAUUUCAUUGAUGUUGUUAUUAUUCAUAAGUUUGACUAACCUAUUAUUACUUUAUACUAAUAUUUUAGAUAUUAUUACUUUAAUUAACAUGAAAAACGCAACAACAAAAAAUAAGGGGGAUUUAUUGGAUUAAGAUUCUAUGGGAUUUUAAAAGAUUUUUUAAUUAUGAAAAAGUCUUGUGGUAUUCAAUCAAAACUUUUUGCAGCCGGUUCUUUAAAAUUUCAACAGUUAACUGUCGAAGGAUAUUUGAGUAAAUUACUCGUAUUUCUCAGUCAAACCAAAAGUGUGAACAGCAAUACUCAAUUUCAAAAACAUGUAUAUGCCACGGUAAAUAAAGCCAGUUGUUGACUUGUUGAUAGUUGUGUUGUUAUUACUUGUGUACAAAUGCUUACCAAACGAGGGUGGGAUGUUGGCACUCUGUUAUGUUAAGAAUCUUCACGUUUUGGCUAUAUUCCAAUGGAAGCGACAGAGCCUCAUUUCCGUUCAAUUUCAUCUUUGUUUUUUUAUAUACGACGUACAAAUACUAACUAACUAAAGGUACAUUAACUUUAAAAUAAAGCAAGAAAUUUUGUAGUAUUGCUUACCUAAUAUAUAUAUACCUUACUUUUAAAAAUACAUAUUAAAAUAUAUGUAAUAAAAAAUUAUAUUAAAUGCUAUAUAAAUGUUAAAUGUUAGAGUCUCACAUUGAAUAUGAGAAUAGUAUAACAAUAUGUUUACAAGUUAUUUAUAAUAGGUUCUUAAUAAUAAUACUAAAUAAAUAUCAAAACUUAUUUAUAUAGAAGUUAUUUUAGUAUUAUUAAGAGCCUAUACUUUUUUUUUGAGCAAAAGAGCCUAUACUUAAUUGAUAAGAAAUUGUUACCAAUAUACCAACUCCAUUAAGUACCAUAAAUUUGAGAAAGAGACCUUGCAUAUUUUUCAGGUGAUUUUGUUGACAUCUUUUUCUCUUAACACUAGGAAGGACCCUUUAGUUUUUCAUUGUAAUAUAAAUAUUCUUGUACAAGUUGACUACCUUUGAAUUUGCAUGUCGUCGUUGAUGGCUAUAUAUAGGGUUAGAUCUAACGUCAUUGUUCAUUUGGUGGAAGAUUUUUAUGAGGAGUGUGUGGUACAUAACAUAUGCAACAUAAAUAACAUAUUAGCAGUAGUCUCUGCAAUGUUCGUUAUUGUAAUUACUGGUAAAAUAGCUGCGACACUUUUGUCGCAUGUAAAUUCCUUCUUCACAUGGAAAUCACCCGUCCGUGAGUGAGUGAAUGAAUGAGUGACUAUUAACCAACCAACCCAGUCAUUUCAUUUCGCCUUCACUCUCUACCCGUUACAGUUUUUCUAACUUUCUUUCUUUAGAUUGAGUAACUUCAAUAAUGCAAUGCAACUAAAGAUUAUUACUUACAACUUCUAUGCUCAAAUAAUUGUUGCAAUGCAAUUAAACACUCACUCAUGCGUGUCCCCGUGAGCCUAAUCCAGUUUGUAGAGACAUUGCAUUAUAUAUAUAGAGGUUGGGGUUCAAACUCAAACACUCUACUUAUUCACCUUAAAAAAAAUGAAUUUAAGUCAAUUGGCUACCUGACUAAAAAAAAACGCACUCAUAUGUUUUAUUUCAUAAGCUGGUUUUAGACCUUUUUAUCUGAAAAACUUAUCUCACAUUGUAGUUGAUAUGUAUGGUUAGACCUUUUGUGAGGUUUGUGUGUCCCCUAGUCUAUCACUCUCUCACAGUUAAACUACUUUGUUUUUGAGAGGUUUGUAUACCUUACUUAAAAACAACUAUCAUUCUCUCAUCAAUUUCAUCAUUAAGCUAUUAAAAUUAACUAAAAAGUACCUAAACUAUUCUCACAUAUAACUAUUAGCCCCUUGGUUGACAAAGUUAAUUUUUUUUAUGAUGGUUUAUGGACUAAAUUGAUAUAUUUUUUAUAGUUUAAAGAUCUUCUAGUUGAUUUUAAUAACUCGAAGGCUAUAUAUGUGAAAAAAUUGAUAGUUUAAGGAACAAGUUGAUUGUUUAUUCUUAAUUUGAUUGAAGUCUACUGGCACACAAAUUUACAAGGAUACGGUGGAUAUGGGGAAGUUAUACCUGAUAUCCCUACAUUUAAUCUUUUACCCCCUACAAAUUGUUGAAAAUGCCAAAUUUACCUUUUAUCAUUUCACUUCACCCUGCAUAAAAUUUUAGCCAACAAUACACUUCCGAGAUUUAAUACUCCAAUUUUCGGAAUAUUCAUAUCAAAUUUUUAUGGUAGAUUAAUUUGUAAACCGGAACAAUUGAGUAAAGAAUUAUUAUCAGAAUUCUUUCUUCUUUCAUCGAGGUUUGAGAGACAAUGAAAGAUGGAAAAUAGAAUACAACAACCUGUAUUAGUUAAUAUAAAAUUAAGUGCAAAGCAAAGAUCAUGAUACCAAACCUCAUCAAUUCUUCUUCCAAUUCAUUUUAUUUAGAUCUAAAAAAAUGAAAGGCCGUAUAUUUCUGGAGUAGAAUUUUAGAUGUAAGGUUGGGAAAUCAAAAAACCUGGCUAAAACUGCAGAAACCUGUUUUCUGAAUUCUUUCUAAAAAAACAGUGUAAAAAAAUGCUUGUCUCUUUAUCUGUAGAUCUAAAAAAAAAUCAUUUCUAAUUCAUCUUGUUUGGAAAUAUGAAUACGAAAAGUUGUAUAUUUUAAUUUUUUUUAUUUUUACAAAAUACCGUUGUUGGGAAUGUGAAUAAUCUAAGAUUAAAUGUAGGGGUGGUAAAAGAUUAAAUGUAGGGGUAUAUGGUAUAAUAUCCUGGAUAUGGUAGGCUUAUAUUACUUAGAACCCAAAUCAUGUUACUUAGGCCCGUCAUCAUGGACUUUUUUCAUGUGGUUUCCAUGCAGGCUAGUUGAAUAUUGCUCUUUAGGCAUCCAUGUUUUGCUCUCAGACAUUUUGAAAUUAUUAUUUUACCUCAAUGAAAAUUAAUUACCAUUUGUUGAUGAACGAUGGUUAGUUUUCAUUCUCUUAUGAACAGUAGUUAAUUGUCGUUCUAGGGCAUUUUAUGUGGUUCAGAUUGCGCAGACAGUUUUUGUGGUCCACGAUACAUAAAAACUUCUAUAAAUUGGUGUGUUUGGUUCAUUUGAAACCACACCACAAAAUCAUGAAUAUUUAUCUAGUAGAUCCGAACACCAAAUUAGCGCAGUUAACUACAACGGGGAAAACUCAAUAUGUUUAGGGUUCAGGUUAAUGCUAUAUCGGUUGACUUGAAGGAACAUAGUUGGACCAAAUUAACAGUCGACUCAACCACAAAGACACAAGAAAGGUGGAAAGUGUUGAGUAUCGUCAUCCAUUCGUUUGACUCAUAUGAAAGCGUCAAGUUCACCCAUAUGAAGUUCAAGAACAACGACAUCGUGAGAACCAUCAAGUUAGACGCUUCAUUGGUCAAAUAUUUUUUAGAUGUUCCGGAAAGUUUGAUUCAGAUUAGGACCUUCAAAGAAAACAGGACUUGCAUGGAUAGACCAAAAGAAAUAAGUAUGUCUUAUUCGUGAUUUUGUAUGUGUUUUAUUAUGUUGUUAAAUUAUGUUAGUGUAUUGUGUUUUAUUAUGUUUAAUGUAUGUUUUUGUUAACUUAUGUCAUUGAAAUUAUGUUAAUGUAUUGUAUUUUAUUAUGUUUAAUGUAUGUUCUUCUGAGCUUUCCUUUGUAACUAAUGAUUAACUACAGUUUCUUCUGAAAACAACAAUUAACUAUUGUUCCUAGAAUGGGAGUUAACUCUUGUUUAACAACGAAAAAUAAUUAAUUAUUAUUUCGGAUAAAAUAGUCAAUUUGAGACGUGUUAAAACAAAGUAUGAGUGUCUAACGAACAAUUUUCAAGAUAGUUUAGUCCUUUUUGGGUUCUACCUUUUUUUUUUAUGAGUAACUUCUACACCUAGUUUCCAUUCUUUUUUGUGUUAAUUGUCCGAUUUCUUAGCAUGUGCGUAACUCACGCAGCGUGACUUAAGUCACACAUGUGUAAAAACUAAGUCAUGUAUUUUUUACACUUGCGCUAAUUAACUAACGCAAGGGUAUUUUCGGCAACACUGCAGGGCGCGAGUGUUUUGUGUUGGGUGAAGAGCAGAAUUCUAAAGUCAUAUAUAUAUAUUAUGGUUUUAAAAGGGUAAUUGCUAAAUCAGAUUCAUAGGAAGCAACUAAGUUAAUAUUGAAAGGGCAUGGUAAAGGGCACCCUUGUUCUCAUAUCAUUUCUCAUAUUUCUAAUUUUCUUGUCUAAUUCAUGAGUUACAAGUUUCAACGUGUCUAACGUGAAGCCAACAAAGUCGUGAAUGCUUUUGCAAGGAAUAUCCAACUUCAAAGUAUUAGCGCAGCUUUAACUUGAUGAACAAACUUAGAGUUUUCUAGGGUUUUAAUUUGAUUUUGUUGAAAUAGAGAGAGAAUGAGAAGAAUGGGUGAAUGAGGAGACAAGAAGUAUUAAAGUUGUGAUUUCAUUUAUAUGUAAAAAUACACAUGAAAGUAGCUUAUAUACAUGGUUUUUUGCUAGGUUACUUGAAGUACAAGUCAUAUAACAAACCCUAAAUACCUUAAGCUAAAAUCUAGUAAAUUUGUAACAAACUAUUAACAAACUAAACUAACUAGAUUUCUAAUGUGAUUAACCAAACAAGCUUGAUUAGAUCACUAACAAACUUGAAUUAUCAACUAACACAAAGUUGCGAUAAUAUAAAAAUAAUAUCAGAACUAGUCUCUCUUCAAAUGAAUGAUGCAUCACAACUUAUCUUUCUCCUUUGAUGGAAAAAUUUGUUCUAAUACCAAUUAUUGAAGGAAAAAAAUCAAUAAAAAAUCUUUAAACAAGCGGGAACACAACCACAAAAUAAGUAAAAGAGAUAAAAACAAAUCACAAGCCUAUUUUUCGAUACUUCACAGUUCACACCUUCAUUCAUAAUAUCUUAACAAAAUAUUUGUUACAAAAAUAUGCAUAGUUUUACUAGGAAUUGCAAACCCUCUUGUACAAUUAUAAUUUUUGCACAGAAAUAUUGCAAACUAAUCUUUCUCAAUUACAAUUUUUGUAAGAAAAACUACAAACUCUUUCAUGACACACAACUACCCAACCUCUUUUUUUUUUUUUUUUUUUUUCAUUACUCGAUGUGCGAUGUGAAAGAAUAUCAAUUUUAGAGAACAAAUGGCUAUAAUUUAUAGGUGGCCUUUAUGAUUUUUGGCACAAAUUUUCAUACUGUGAAAUGUGAAUAGAUGCAUGUGCAGAGAUGGAGUUCAUAAUUUAAAUCUUACGUUAAAAAUAAAACAAGUUUUUAAUGUUAUAGUUUAAAAAUAAAAAAUUGUUUCUUAUAUACAAUAUUUUUAUGAAUAUUUACAUAGUUCUUAAAAAAAUUAAUAAUGAAUGGUAUAUUCGUGUCCUGUAUGACACAAUGAAACAUAUGCACAUGAUUAAAUUAUACAUUAAGCCUAAUCAUAUGAUCUGAAAAGAUUUUCUCUACAUUUCGUCGAGCUAGCAAGGUAGAUAGAUGUCAACUAAUAAGUUGAUGAAAUCGGCUAAAAAAGAUUCCCAGUUGAAGUUUAUUAUUUUUUUGGUGCAACCCAGUUGAAGAUUUUAUUAACUUUGAUGAUGGCUCUGAACUACCAAGUUUUCUAGAACUUGAACAAGUCCUUAAUUUUAGUUGAAUUGCAAUACUAUGUCUAUAUGUAUAGUAUACCGUUUCUGGUUUCAUAGUCUGUUAAUUUUAAGGAAUUUUUUCAAGUGGCUCAAAAAAAACAUAUACAGUACAUUCUUUAGUUUUAUUUACAUCGUUUUCAAUCUCUUUCGCUUUUUUAAAUAUUUACGCAGAAAACAUUUUUUUUUUUUUUUCAAUCAGAAAGAGGCAAAAUUAAGAUUUGCAUUGGUUUUAGUCAUCACCUACUACAUUAAAUUACUAUUUGUGGAAAAUAUUGUUUAUAGCGUGAAACUGUGCUCUGACUGGCUCACAUGCAAACGGACAGUGGCAAUAUUGUUUAAGGAAGUAUUAAUCUUUUUUUUUUUUUUUUUUUUGACAGAAACCAUAUAGUAUUAAUCUAUUAUUACUACUAUAUAUGCAUAAAAAAGGACCAAUUAACCGACAUGCUUUGAGUUAUUUUGUGUUUUUUUUUUUUAUUGUUUCUGAAAAAAUCAACCAACAUGCUUCUUUUUUUGCGCUAACUAAAACUAAUUUAUUUAUGCUACUAAUCAAUUUAUUAAGACUAAAACUUGAGUACAAGUUAGUCUUUUUUUUUGUAGUUGGUGACCUACAAGUGGUACUCUUGUACUCAUUAUACUCAAAGUCAAGGGUACAUGCGUAUGUGUUAUGCUGAAUUCGAAAAUUCAUAGUCAAGACCCAGCAAUAUCAAGAUAUAUACACACAUGUCCUAAAGUGCAUUCUGGAGAAUAAGAACUACAAGUCUAAAGUUUUUCUUUUUGUUAGUAAAGUUAUUUUAGUCCAAGUUUAGACUAUACAACGCUGACUAUGAAAUAUGAAAGGAAAAAAAAACCUUCAAUUUUUGUCAAAAAAAUAAAUUCCAUUGUCUCUAACUAAUUAUUGAAAUUUUAAACAUGUGUUUGGUCUAACGGUAUGGUAGAAAAAAUCACGGCAAAAAUUCACGGUAACUACAAAAUCUAAAAAUUUGUAAUUUCUUUGAAAUUUGAGUUUGUAACUUCGAACGUCAAAUAAUCGUUCAUUAAGUCUCUAAAGCUCACAUGAUCAGACCAGCUUUGAUUGCAAAAUAUGACCAACUAAUUACUAAUAAACAUUUAAUUUUGUUAGCAGAUCAAUUUAUCUGUUUAAUGUUAAAAUAAAUCUGAUCCAAUUCAAUACUUUUGGACAUAGAUUGAAAUGGUUUCCCCCCCCCCCCCCCCCCCUUUUUUUUUUUUUUUUUUGUAAACUAGGUAUCCUCCGCGCGCAACUGCGGAGACUAAUCCCUCGAGCAUUGUGAGACCCAAAUGGACGGCAGACUCUCCCUAAGAGUUUUAACGCUGCUGGAGGUAUUGUAAAUAAUAUUUUGUGUUAUAUUAUUUUUAAGAGUGUAUAUUUCUAUAUAAAAAGAGUGAGUUUUGCCUUCAACCUCGAGGUAAUCGGUUUGAGACCUAGGCACUGAGAACAUGAGUUUUUUCGAUUAGCUCUUUAAAAAAUUAUUUAUAGGAGGAAUAAUUGUUUUUAUGGAAUUUGUCGUGUAAUAAAAAUCUAAAUCGUCUAGUCUACAAUUUUGUAUAGUCUUCAAUUAUGUUGUGAAUUCGGGCUUUGAAACUUCACACCAAUCCAAACUAUGAUGUGUGGAGAAAGUAUCAAUGGCAACCAACAACCAAAUUAACCAUAAGCAAUAACAAUAAUAUAUACCAAGUCUAUAAACCAAGUGCAUAGCAAAAUCACAAUCCAACCAAAUAAUAAACAAGAUAAAAGAGUAAAGAAAAAUAGACAACAACACCAAGAGAUUGUUCACCCAGUUCGGUCCAACCAUGACCUACUCUGGAGGAGAGAUUGAUCUCUUCAAUCCACUAUCAAUGAGUUCUUACAAAGAGAUACAAAUGAGUUACAAGAAAUUAGCUUCAACAAGCUCACAAAAAACAACCCUAAUUUCUACCAAUUUUCCCAAUCUCACCAAUGAACAAGACACUCAUGAUUUUUACUCUCCCAAGGUGUUUACAAUUGUUUCACAACUCUAGAAUCUAACCCCCAAAAGAGAACCAACUCUUAGCCUUUGAUUUCACUUAGGAUCUUCUCUUUUGGUUUCACAAGACUCACCCAAGUUGCUCGCAAAUGACUCUCCACUCAUGUGUUUCCCAACCCCAUGAAUCUUCUCCAAAAGGCACCAACCCUUUUCACAAGAGCCCCCUCUUUUGGUUCUCCAAGAUUCACAUCUUGAAGCUUUGAACCUCACCCAAAGACCCUCAACCUUUAGUAUCUAAAACCCUAAAAGUUUCAUCCUUUGGUUGUUAUGGGAUUCACCAAGCUUACCCAACAAAUGGAUCAGGGAGUGUUUAAAACAUGUUUCAGAUCUGUCAAAAUCGUGUCACAUUUUGCCUUCAGAACCAAACAUGCAUUCGGCAUCAGAAAUCGUGACACGGUUGCCAAAUCGUGUCAUGAUUCUUCACUUUCAUAAAGACUUAAUUUUGAGUCAUAUAUAUACCAACAAAUUCAAAUUAUAUAAAUGGACGGUAUAUUCUUUAGUAAAAGUAUUAUUUCACAAUUUAAUACGUAUUAUUAAAAGAAAUUAGAAACAAUUAUCAAAAAAUUAUGAUAGAUAAUAUAUUAAACUCGUCUAGUGUGUGUGUAUUUUUGAAGGAUAGUGUGUGUGUGUAUUAACAUCAUUCUCUAAUUAUUUUUGUAGGGAAACAAUGUUGGUUAAAUUGAUGUGUACUUUUUUUUGUAAAAAAUAAUCGACGUAUUUUUAAAUGAGAUUUACAUGUAGAGAGAGACAGCGGUAGACAUAGUAGUAGAACAAUUAAAAUUUAAAAGACCACUUUACAAAUUGCACCAAGUGGUCCUCUAAAAAAGAUCACCGACAGUUGCUUCACUUUACCUUCAUAUAUUUUAGAGCAAUGAUAUUUGAACAAUUAUUUAGUACAACAUUUUUUGACAAUCUUCUUUUUCUCUCUUUUUAUUGGUCAAAAAUAAUGAAGAGAAAAAAGAAGAGAUAGAGUAAAAAUAUAAUAUGAAUAUGAGAAAAAAAAUUGUCUAAAAAUUAUCACAAAAUGGUUGUACAAAUAUUAUUUCUCCAUAUUUUAGACACAGGCUAAUCAUUAAUUAAUUUGUGUAAAAAAAAACAAUAAUAUUAUUUUGACAACAUUAUUCAACACCUUAUCUUUCUUUCAAAAAACAUUAUUCAACACCUUAUGUUCAUAUUAUCAUUUGAUUUUCUUAAUUAUGUUUUACAUCAGUCACAUCAAGUGACAUUUUACACGCUUAUCAAUUUUUUUUGUCAAGUAGCCUAGUGUUUAGAACUCAUAUAAUUUAAUUGUGAAGAAAUGAAGUGUCAGAGAUUCGAACUCCAACCCCUGCAUAUAAUAUGCAAUAUCCCUACCAACUGAACUAAGCUCACGAAGAUCGCGGUUAUCAAUUUUUGUAGUUCAAAUAACAUCACUAAAAAAAGCUACGAGGCAGACGCACAAAUUUUCAUUGAGCAGUUGUGUUAAUUAAUUUUAUAACGCAAGGAAAAUGGUGAAGUUUUUGUGAAUAGAGAAAUGAUAUAUAUACAAUCAUUUUCAAACAACUUUUGUAAUAACUUUAUCUCUCAUUUUUAUAUUUUAUUUUUAUUUUUUUCUCUAUUAUUUUGGUUUUCGUUUAUGAUUUUUUGUAAGAAAAUGAUUGUCUAUGUAGUUAUCAAUCACAUUGAUGUUCAAAUAACAUUGCUUUUGUGAAUAAUGCAAAAUAGUUUCUCGGAACAAUCAAUUAUUCAAUUGAUAUUUACGAAAUUAGUUUUUGUAGGGUGUCCCUAUAAAUCACAUAUACUUUAAAACAGUCAUAUGUAUUCACGAUUCGAGAUCUUAUAAAAAAACCAUUCCAGAUCAUGUAUGAAAAUGAAAUAUAUAUUUUUUUUGACUGGUGUAUGAAAAUGAAAUAUUUUCAAAAAUAAAAUAUACUCUCUGCCCAUAUAAUGUCAGCGUAGGUGUCGGUGUUUUUCUACCGACUAUAAGAAAAACUGUAAAAUAAAUAAAACAAUAUAGUAAUUUAAAUUAGUGAUUGUAAAUUAUUGUCUUAAAUGUAUAGUUCAAUAUAAUAGAUUAAAAAUGAUGAAAAAAAUAUUAAUUUAAGAGUAGAAUUGAAAUAACAUAUAUGUUUUCGAUAGUUUAACUAAAUUGAUAAAGACAUUGCAUAAUAAUAUACAAGUGUUUUGAAAUUCCAUUUAUUCAUUACAUGUGAAUUUUUAGAUAUUAAACUAUUUGGAAAAUAAAAUAAAAUAUCAAAUAAUUAAGGUUUAAAUAUGUAAGUAGUCCCUGUAAUUUCGCGUAUUUUUGUUUUCGUUCCUGUAAGUUAUUUUGUUCUAAAACAAACUCUGUAUUUUGCUAACCUUUUGGAAAAGGUCCUUGCCGUCAGCUUCCGUCAACAAAAACGCCAUGGUGGCUAACGGAGCACACGUGGCAGUUCAUGAGUUGGCAAAGUUGAUGAGAUGGAAUGAGAGAUGAUAAGUUGUUAAAAUACAGGGACUAAAAUCAAAAACGUAAAUUGACACAGGGAUGAAAUUAAAAAAACGUUUAAUCUUCUUUUUCCUCUCAAAUUUCAGUCUUCUUCUUCCUCUCAAACUUUCCCCAAUCUAUCCCAUACCUUGCGCCCUUGAACCAAAACUCAUAUCCUUCAACAAUUUAUUCUAAUUCCAUUACUCAAUCAUAUUGUGUGUUUUGAUUGUAAUGUUAAGUUGAAACAUUGUAUGCUACUUAAGUUUGAUUAAUUUAGUGAUGGUUGUUGCGAUUGAUUGCAAAUUCAUUCAUAAAGUUUGUAGAUAAUAAAGGCAAGAAUACAUCUUUUUCAUCCCUCUUUUUUUUCCACAAUUCCCUCUUAUUCUUCCAGAUUGCUACAAUUACCAUACAUAAAUAGUCAGAUCCCCUUUCAUCUUUUCUCACUCACAUUCAAAUUCAAACUCUAAUUUCUCAAAUUUUUGCUUUUGAAUUGUGUAAUUUUGUGUUUUUAUGUAAUUGGUGUAGAGAGUUUAUGUUGUUUUAAUGUGUUGAUUAAGAGUGGGUCUUGUUGUUGUUGAUUGAUGAUUAUUAGUUUUGUUUAAAAAAAUAUAUAUGUUUGUUGUUUUCUUUCUUUUCCUGGGUUUGGUGUUGAUGAUUUAUGAAUAUGGUGAUGAAGAUGAAGAAGACAAUGAAGGAAGAAGAAGAAUAAGAUCUUGAUUUUAAAUUUGAAAUUUUGAUUUUACGUUUUUUAUUUUAGUCCCUGUGGUAAUUUACGCUUUUGAUUUUAGUCCCUGACUUUACACAACUAAUCAUCUCUCAUGCCAUCUCAUCAAAUGUGCCAAGUCAUGACCUGCCACCUGUGCUCCGUUAGCCACAAUGGCGUUUUUGUUGACAGAAGCUGAUGGUAAGGACCAUUUUCAAAAGGUCAAAAAGAUACAAGGUUUAUUUUAUAUAAAAAAAAAAACUUACAAGGACGAAAACAAAAAAUACGCGAACUUAGAGGAACCUUUUACAUAUUUAAGCCAAUAACUAAUAGCACUUAUUUUGGUACAUUUCUCUUUUGCAAAUGUGAAACUUAAUAUUGGAUGGGGUCAAUAAUUUUGAGAAUGAAUAAACCCAUUAUUUAGUCUUUUAAUUUUUUUUUUCCAUCCAUCAGGUUUCUAAACUAUUUACAAACACUAAAUGUCCUUAAGACAUAGCUCAAGUAACAAUAUUGAUAUUGAGAAGUUGGAUAUUUUCAUCCGAGUUUGAACUCGAAUUCUUGCAAUUACGAGUGUGAAUUUCAGGUAAUUUAUAUCAAUUUAUCUGUAAACAAAAGGAGAUAUAUACGCGUAACAAAUAGGUCUAAUGCAAAUUAACAACUUAUUUUUAGUUUAUAAAAUAUAUGAAAUUUAAUCCUUUAGUCCCUAGUAUAUUUUAACAAUGGGCACUAAAGCAACAUAUAUUUCAUAUAUUUUAAAUACUACUACAUCUUUCCUUAUGUAUAAGCUCAUUUGACAUUUUCACAUAUAUUAAAAAAGUUAGUAGUGUCUUGACAAAAAAGAAGCUCCUUAGAGUUUCCUUAUGUAUAUUUUUUUAAACCGAAAAAAUUGUGUACAAAAAAUGACUAUUAUUACUAAAAAAAAUCUUUUGCAUAUAGAUGUGUUCAACAUUUAUUUUGCAAUUCUCAAGACAAAUCAGUGGUACAUCUUAAUAAGUGAUAUAUUUGUUAGGAAAAAAAAUUACUAUAUGUAUCUAGUUAUUUGCAAGACUAAUGAUUCUUAGCAAAUAUGCUUAUAUUGAGAGAACUUUUUUCUAAAGAGAGCUUAUAAUUAGAGACUAAGAUUUUGCCAAAAAAUAAAGAAAAAUUAGAGAAUAAGGUUUAUACUAUACUUUAGAAACUAAUUUGAUGAGAUACGACUAAAUCGAAGAUAUAUUUUUUUAGAAUAGUGUUAGAACCUUAGAAAUUAUAAUCAAUAGAAAUAGAAAUGUUCCUUACAGAUCCAUAAUAGUGACAAUCUUGUCUUUUCUUUUGAGGAAAUAAUAAUAAAGGUGGUGCCAACAUUUCAACAAACCUAGCUAUUUUAAUUAUUCUGUUCUCACAGCCUGCACCUUAGAUCAAAUCCAAAUUGGGUCAUCACCGUUCCAAAAUGCUUAGGGACGUUACUCUAAAUGUCAAUAUGAAUGAGUAAUUCAAAUAGUUAACAUAGCCCGCCAGCCUUAUAUAAUAAUAUCAAUAUAUGUCGACUAAUUAUCGAGAUGCUAAAUUGGAGUACACUUCACAAACAAAAAUCUUUCAUAAGGCGUUUUUUCUCUUAAUACAUUUUUUCUUUUCUUAUGCUAGUAACAUUUACUCUGUAUUGGCCUUCCUAAGAAGAAGUUGGAUAGUAGCAAUGUGUUCGUGAGACUGCUGAUAUCUUAAAAGAAUGUUCUCAUAGAUUCCACUUUUUUAGUAAGCUUUUAUGUGUAUGAGUUUGCAAAUUUAACCCUUUUUAAUUCGGAUAGAUUUAUAAGUCACACCUUCAAGUACAAUCGACAAAAUUUCAGUAAUAAUUACGGUUUAGGGUUUAUGGGUCUAGAUCUACUAAAAAUGAGUGGGUGUAUAAAUUAGUAUAUCCUAGAGUUUAUUAUCUUACGUUCGAUCUUCUUUGCAGAAACUCGUGCAUGUUCGUGAUAUAUAUUUUCGCGAGAAGUACAUUUCCCUAAAACAAAAUCAACCACUGACAUAAACACGUCAAAUGUAAGCCGGUAAAUCCAAGCUUUACUAACACGAGUUAUAUUAUAUCAUUGGCAUCAGCUACUUAAGAACUACUGUAGAAAAUUUACAGCAAGUCAUCGAGGCUUAAUAAAAUGUGUUGAUAUAGUUACAAAGAUAAAUUAAAUAGCAGAGCAUACAUGAAGAGAACAAAUGUAGAGCAACCCCUUAAACAAACCCUCUCAGUAAGGUAUCUUCACAUUACUCUAAGUUCAUAAAAGAUGACUUUAAAAACGAUUAUUUCAAAAUGCAAGUAUUCUCCGACCCCUUUUUCCCGGAUCUAGAUCUAAUAGUGUAAGGAUAUAUAUAAAUCAUUGUCACAUUUUACAACUCAAGAGUUUACCUCAACUCGUUUUGUUUAGGUAAAUUCGACUCGAGAACUCGUAUGACUUUACCUAAAAUUAAAAUUAUAUAAAAUUUAUUAUAUAUGCAUGACAUAUGUAAGUUAAUAUAAUAUUGUAAAUAGGUCAAUAGUGCAAAAUAUGACUUAAUUACAAAGACAAAUUAUACCAUAAUAAAAUGUUAUGCUCAACUUAGCUUCAAAAUACAAAAAUUAACGCACAAAAUCAUAAGUCUCUAAGUUUAAGCCAUCCAUAAAACCAUCCAAAAAAAGAAAGUUUCACAAGUUCCUAAAGUUAUUAAUAAAACUAUCUAAAAAAUAAAGUAGUUAAUUUCUUCAAAACGUCAACAAACACCACCACAACAACCCUAACCAGUGUCACAAUCACCGGCGUUGAAAUAUGAAUUUCCACCGUCUGAAUCACAACCCUAAAUGGUAUGUGCUCCCCUGUUCAUGGUUUGAGAACUUAGAAAAGAAAAAGGGCAAUCCGGUGCACUAAAGCUCCCACAUACGCAGGGUCCGGGAAGGGGUCCCACCAUUUUUUGUGUAUUGUACGCAACCUUACCCUGUUUUUGAUCACAAAAGAAAAAGAAACGUUUCAUUUUAGGAACAACUUGUCACUGUAAAGGUAACUAUUAAUUAAACGUUUCAGUCUUUGGGGUUGUAGAAAAGGAAUUGGAUUUUGAAAAAAAUGGGCACAUAAAAAGGGCCAAUUUUUAGAUGUAAACUCGUAAAACUCAGUAAACUCGGUCGAGUUUACACGAGUUUACCUAGUGUUAACUCGGUCAAACUCGUUAAACCUUCCAAUUUUACCAGAAACCGAGUUUACCUCCGAAUUAACAUGAUUUUGGCACCUACGUAAACUCGAAGAGUUAACACUCAAUUUGCGGAACAUUGCAUAUAUAUUUAAAGAUAUAUGUAUAAUUAUAGAGAAAGUAGAGAAGGGAUAUACCAUUUUAUGUAGGGUUAUUAUGUAUCAAAUCAUAAAGAGUCGAGAGUUGUAUUAUACCAUAAUAUUCUUCCGUAAACUGGUAGUCAUGAUCAUGACGUAUAUUAUUCAAGUAUAUGCAAAAACAUGUCUGUAUCUAGUCUAAAUUUUUGACCAAAUGCAUGUAUUUGCUUAUAUUUUGUUACUACUUACUACUCGCCAAGUAAUGCUCAAUAUCUAAUAUAUAUAUUUCAAGACCAUCAAAGAUAACUCAGUUGAACAAUACAUAAUAUAUGCAAGGUUCGGGGUAUAUUACAUUUUCAAUUAUUCUAAUAAUAAAUUUAAAUGACACUUAAAUUAUACAACUAUUAAAUAGAUCUUAGUACCGUAAAAUUUAUAUUCGAGACUUGCUAGGGAGAACCAUCAACCUCAACAAAAAUUUCUACUUGAAUCUAACGCAAACAAAAGGUCCAACCAUCUAUGAAUCUCCGUUGAUAUCACAAAUGAUGUUUGAUACAAGAGAGACAUAUUAGAACAUAAUCUAUGUACAAUCUACAUUAAAAUAAAAAACAAGUCUACAGUCAUAUAAAUAACACAAUUUCAAAAUCUCAAAAUUAGGUAUGAAAACAAAAUGAUUAGAAAAAUAAAUGAUUCAAUCAUUCCGAGAUUUGUGCAAAAAAAAAAAAAAAAACAUUUUGAAAAUACAAUGUUAGAAACUUAUGAUCAAUAUAUAUUUUUCCUUACACAUCAAAAAUAAUUAAGCUAUAUUCUUGUCUUUUCAUUUUGGGCAAACUAAAAUUAAAAUCAAGGUAGUGUCAAUGUUUCUAUAGUCCUAGCUAUUUGAUUUUCUUCUAAGCUAACAAGAGUCUUCCAAAAUCAAAUUCGCGCUCAAAAUUAAAGCAACUUGGGUGGUAACCAUUCCAAAAUACUUAGGGCCACAUUGCUCUAAAAGUCAAUAAGAAUAAGUAAUAAUUCAAAGAUAGCCAACCUUAUAGUAUAUUUUAAUAUGAAUGUAUGCAUGUUUCCUAGAAGGUGAGUAAGCUAACUAAUCAAGAUACUUUGUUGGAGUUAAAUAUGGUAAAGAAUCCAACUAUAAAAUGGGGACUUGCCCCAGCAUUCUUUCACAAACCAAAACCAACUUCUAAGAAAAAAAUGAGGUCCCUAAUGGCCUCUGCUUCUCUCACUCUUGCAUUAGCCAUCCUCUUUUUGAGUUUCCCAUCUGAAAUUUCAGCAAACAAAUACGCAUAUUCCUCUCCACCACCACCACAUUACUCAUCUCCUCCACCUCCACCGGUUCACACUUACCCUAAACCAGUCUACCACUCUCCACCACCACCAGUUCACACCUACCCUAAACCAGUUUACCACUCUCCACCACCACCAGUUCACAAGUACCCUCACCCUAAACCAGUAUACCACUCUCCACCACCCCCAGUUCACAAGUACCCUCAUCCACACCCAGUCUACCAUUCUCCACCACCCCCAGUUCACAAGUACCCCCAUCCUCACCCAGUGUACCACUCUCCCCCACCACCACCACCAAAGAAGUCCUACAAAUACCCAUCUCCCCCACCACCACCAGUUCACACCUACCCUAAACCAGUCUACCACUCUCCUCCACCCCCAGUUCAUCACACCUACCCUAAACCAGUCUACCACUCUCCUCCACCCCCAGUUCACACCUACCCUCACCCUAAACCAGUCUACCACUCUCCACCACCCCCAGUUCACACUUACCCUAAACCAGUCUACCACUCCCCACCACCACCAGUUCACACCUACGUCCCUCACCCUAAGCCAGUCUACCACUCUCCACCACCACCAGUUCACACCUAUCCCCCACAUGUUCCCCACCCAGUUUACCAUUCUCCUCCUCCUCCAGUUCAUUCCCCACCUCCACCACACUAUUACUACAAAUCACCUCCUCCACCUUACCACAACUAGAUAGCCCAUAAUUGGCAUCACACCAUAUGGUAACUUUUCAUGCAACAUAUAUAUUAUAACUUUUCAUAUUCUCUCUUUAUUAACUAGUUAUCGGUAUGAUUGUCGAGUAUAUACUAACAAGGCUAAUUUGAAAUGAAACUUCAUGUGCAAUGAAACAUUCUUUUACUGGUUAAUAUUUUAUUCUAUGUUUCAUUGAAAUUAAUAUUUUUCUAAUAGUAUUUGGUUAUUAAGGGAUUAGAGUAUAUCAGACAUAAACUGACAGAUCAAUAUAUUUGC